CUCUUUUUAGAUUCCAUCUGGGGGCCGUGUAUGUUAUGCGUGCUGGGUCUCAGCACGAAGAAAUGUGUAAAGAGCCCAGAACAUUGAUGAGGUGCGUCAAAAUCCAGUUUCUGCACACCACCAAGAUGAUUCUUGUGCAUUAUGCCGCAUGUCUUUGUUCCGGAGGCAAACACAUGCCAUACCUACUGGGCCUGCGAGAUAUGAAUUAGCAGCAAGCAUUUAUCCACGCGAGUUAUCGGGGCACCUUUUGUGUACAAGUUGCUGGACUAUAUAAAUGUUAGACGAAAUGCAUCCCAAAUUCGUGAAGAAGCUUCACCAUCUGGAACGAUGAUGGAAAAUGUACCAGUAACAACGCCAGUGAUGGAGCUUGAUGAUUUUACACACACUACAAAUUCAAGUAGACAUUGUUUUGUGUCCAACUGCACAAAUCCUGAAAGGUACAAUGUUCCAAUUAGUCUUAGAAAGCGAAUUUUAACGUCCCAAAAAAUAUUUGUAUCAGAUAAUGCUAGUGUGUAAUGAACAAAUACCAUUAUACAUAUAAUUGGGAGUUUCUAGAACAGCAUGAAUUCUCAAAAGUGUUUACAAAAACUGAGAUGCAGUCUAUGCUAAGACUUAGUAUUCGAGAAGUAGAAAGUCAUUUAGAUUUUGAAAGCAUUGAACAAAUUGAUGAUGUUAUUUUUAAAUUCUGGACAGGCUUAUCAAAACAUAACUAUAAUAUAAUUUUUAACCAAAACCGUCCAGCUAUGGCUUGCAAAAAACCCCGAACUGCCUUAGGUGCUUACUUAAUUAAAGCUCGUACUGGAGACUCCCACAGAAGAAUCUUUUCUUUGUUAUGUGUGGGGACGGAUACAUUAUAAACGUUACAGGAACAUACGAUGCAACCUCUGAUGCAUCAAUAAUGCAGCAGAUUUUACAAAACCACGACGGUCCUAUGGAAGAGGCCCCGAUUAAUUAUUUUUUGGAAGAAGGUGACGUCUUCAUAUUGGACAGAGGAUUUCAUGAUAGUAUUCCUCUUCUAGAGUCAUACGGCUAUGUUGCACAUGUACCCCUGUCUGUAACACGCGGUGAUUGGUGAAAGUCAGCUGACAAAUCUGGAAGUGAUCACGAAGAGUCACAUUAUGCAGGUGGUCGUAGAGACAAUUAACGGUCAAUUCAAGCGCGACUUUAAAAUAUUUAGAGACAAAGUAUUUAAUCGCACUACCAAACACCAUGAAGGAUUUUAAGAUAGCCGCAGCCAUCAUAAACUGUUUUCAAGAGCCCUACGAGUACAGUAGGUACACAAACCAAUUCAUUGAUAUAAUAAAUAAUGUAAAUAAUCACAAUCAUUUCCACAUCAUUAGCUUCUUUCAAGUCCCAUAGGAAUCUAUGUCUGCGCGUGGCCAAAAUCGGAACUAAUCUCAGGCCGCCAUGUCGUUGUUUAUGUCGGGUGUAGUGAGCGUUUAGGAGUGUCUUGCGUUUUUAUUAGUUUUCAGUGAUCAAAAUGACUAAUCAUCAUGCCAAAAGUUAUUAAAAGUGCCGGCAGAGAGAUUGUUUUGAAGGUGAAACGUUCUUGUGAAGCAGAACGGGACAAUAAGGGGCCAUUUAUACCAAUUUGCAAAGUACGGGCACGGAAUGCUUCCUUGACAGGUACAUUUUUGGGUGACCAUCGCAUGGUAUUUUGCUUCCGUGUGGGGUAAUUUUUGUAUUUUAAGUAUUUCAAAUAAUCAUAAUAUAUUUGUUCGUUUCAGGUAUUUCUGAACGCACUGUCACUAAAAUAACUCGAGAAAGUAAUUUAGCUGAAGCUUCUAAUUCGAAAAUUGUAACUCCAGGAAAAAAUAGAGACCGAAAGAGUUUUUUGGAAACAGACGAUUUUGACUGUUGCAACGAACUGACCACUGAACACUGUUACAACGAUGGAAUGGAUUAACGUGUGUCAACACGUGGGGAAAAUCGAAGACAAAUAUUUCGAAUCCGACAGACUUAUGGGUAUAGAACUCGACAAAAUAUAAUUGAUCCUACAAGUGACGAUGAAAGCUUAGACUCUUCUGACGACGAAAUGUCCGAAGACUCCGAAAGUAAUAUGAUGGAAGGCAUUAACCCACUGGAGGACCAUAAUUAUACAAAAU